CUGAAACUUGCAGCUGAACUGUAAUAAUACCAAAAAUUGAGUAUCAACCAGAAUUUGGCUUUGAAAAAAUCAGCGAAGAACAGCUCAUUGAAUAUUGGUUGGAUACAAACUUUAACUGUCCCAAAACUAAAUUAGCAUUAGUCUUGGUUCAGUAUAAUAUGGAUCUCAUGCAAGUAAAAUAUACAAUGGAAGAGACCGAGAGUUUAAAUUCAAAUGGUAAAGAUCAAAAGUAUCUACAAAGAUUGAAUUUAACUCUAUAGACAAACUCACACAAUUAGGCAAAGGAGAAUAUGACGUGUUGCUUCACAAUCCUAAAAAAACAUUCCACGUUGACCUCUACCAGUCAUUAGUGUAUGGUGGUUUCAAUUUAUUGAACAUGUAUUUUGUUCUACAACAGGCUGAAGUUUCUAAUUCAUUGGUUUGGAAUCCUAUAGACUCGGGAGUAUUAUGUCCAAUUCAUAAUUACUUUAAUAUUGCACUAUUAUAUUAUCAAAAUUAAAAGAUUGUAACUUUAGUAAUUUAAAAACAAAUAUAUUUUUCAUUGUUUAUUUUGUGUAAGUAUUGGUUUUUUUCUUUUUCUUAAUAAUUUAAAUAAACAUAUUGAGCAAUAUUAUAUCUGUUGAGUCGUAAAUUAUGUUGCAGAAAGAGGCGUUAAGUUAAUUCAAUAAUACAAUAGUAUAUUGAUGAAAGACGAAAAUAAAAAACAAUUUUUAUUACAAGUUAUAAAUGAUUAUAAAAAAAUUACCCUGAUCGUAAAAAAAAUACAUUAAUUCGUUCAUAAUUAAUAGAUAUUUUACUUGAAUGUUACGUAUCUAAUUUUCAUAUUGUAUUACUCCAUUGAACCACUAUUUAUUUUUAAUGACAUCAAUAUUCAUUAUGUACUUGUGUAGGUAAACAAUUUAUUUUUUUUAAUAUUAAGUUAACACUUUGUAUACUUAAAGAUUAAUUUCUUAAUGUAAAACAAUAAUUGUACAAUAAGCUUUAGACAUUAGUUAUAUACAAAUUUUUGAAGAACUAUUGUAAGUUUGUUAUCGUUAAAGCAAUCAUAUAGAAAAUAUAUUGAACGUUUUGUAUUUUUUUCAGAAAAAGGUAAUAAUUUUUAUUUUAUUCUAAUUUUCACAGAAAAUAUUAGUUUUACCAGAAAUUUUGUAAGAACGUUAUUUAUAGACAAUAUCUAAAUCUACAAUUUAGGGUCUAUAUAAUUUUAUGUCUAAUGCAAUAUAUUUUGAGUUAAAUCAAAAAACCCUUAAAACUACCC